rnacentral:rRNA from 1 species
AUACGUAGGGAGCAAGCGUUGUUCGGAUUUACUGGGCGUAAAGGGUGCGUAGGCGGCGCGACAAGUCACUUGUGAAAUCUCCGGGCUUAACUCGGAACGGCCAAGUGAAACUGUUGUGCUAGAGUGCAGGAAGGGCAACUGGAAUUCUUGGUGUAGCGGUGAAAUGCGUAGAUAUCAAGAGGAACACCUGAGGCGAAGGCGAGUUGCUAGACUGACACUGACGCUGAGGCACGAAAGCUAGGGGAGCGAACGGGAUUAGAAACCCCAGUAGUCC